rnacentral:rRNA from 1 species
GACGUAGGGCGCGAGCGUUGUCCGGAUUUAUUGGGCGUAAAGAGCUCGUAGGCGGCUUGUCGCGUCGAAUGUGAAAACCCACGGCUCAACUGUGGGCUUGCAUUCGAUACGGGCAGGCUAGAGUUCGGUAGGGGAGACUGGAAUUCCUGGUGGAGUGGUGAAAUGCGUAGAGAUCCGGAGGAACACCAAAGGCGAAGGCAGUGUCCUGGGGAGUACCUGACGCUCAGGUGCGAAAGCCAGGGGAGCGAACGGG